rnacentral:rRNA from 1 species
GAUGAACGCUGGCGGCGUGCCUAAUACAUGCAAGUCGAGCGAACGGACGAGAAGCUUGCUUUUCUGAUGUUAGCGGCGGACGGGUGAGUAACACGUGGAUAACCUACCUAUAAGACUGGGAUAACUUCGGGAAACCGGAGCUAAUACCGGAUAAUAUUUUGAACCGCAUGGUUCAAAAGUGAAAGACGGUCUUGCUGUCACUUAUAGUUGGAUCCGCGCUGCAUUAGCUAGUUGGUAAGGUAACGGCUUACCAGGGCAACGAUGCAUAGCCGACCUGAGAGGGUGAUCGGCCACACUGGAACUGAGACACGGUCCAGACUCCUACGGGAGGCAGCAGUAGGGAAUCUUCCGCAAUGGGCGAAAGCCUGACGGAGCAACGCCGCGUGAGUGAUGAAGGUCUUCGGAUCGUAAAACUCUGUUAUUAGGGAAGAACAUAUGUGUAAGUAACUGUGCACAUCUUGACGGUACCUAAUCAGAAAGCCACGGCUAACUACGUG